UACGAGGGGGGCUAGCGUUGUGCGGAAUUACUGGGCGUAAAGCGCACGUAGGCGGAUAUUUAAGUCAGGGGUGAAAUCCCAGAGCUCAACUCUGGAACUGCCUUUGAUACUGGGUAUCUUGAGUAUGGAAGAGGUGAGUGGAAUUCCGAGUGUAGAGGUGAAAUUCGUAGAUAUUCGGAGGAACACCAGUGGCGAAGGCGGCUCACUGGUCCAUUACUGACGCUGAGGUGCGAAAGCGUGGGGAGCAAACAGG
rnacentral:rRNA from 1 species